rnacentral:rRNA from 1 species
GAUCCUGGCUCAGGAUGAACGCUGGCGGCGUGCUUAACACAUGCAAGUCGAACGAAGCACCUGUUCACGAUCCCGUUCGGGGUGACCGAACUUGUGACUUAGUGGCGGACGGGUGAGUAACGCGGUGGGAAACCUGCCCUGUACAGUGGGAUAACAGUUAGAAAUGACUGCUAAUACCGCAUAAGCGCACGGUACCGCAUGGUACAGUGUAGAAAAACUCCGCUGAAAGAUGGGCUCGCGUCCGAUUAGAUAGUUGGUGAGGUAACGGCUCACCAAGUCGACGAUCGGUAGCCGGACUGAGAGGUUGAACGGCCACAUUGGGACUGAGACACGGCCCAGACUCCUACGGGAGGCAGCAGUGGGGAAUAUUGCACAAUGGGCGAAAGCCUGAUGCAGCGACGCCGCGUGAGCGAAGAAGUAUUUCGGUAUGUAAAGCUCUAUCAGCAGGGAAGAAGAAUGACGGUACCUGACUAAGAAGCCCCGGCUAACUACGUG